rnacentral:misc_RNA from 1 species
CUUCCUGUCCCUCUCCUCUCCUCUCCUCUCUUUCUCUUUCUUUGUCUCUUCCUGUCCCUUUCCUUUCCUCUCUCUCUCUCCUUAUACCUUGCUUUAUCACUCUUUCCCUCUUCCCCCUGGCGAGUUCCGCUUCACGAGAGCCUUCGGUCAUGACACUCAAGCACUUCCGGUGGUGACGCAACCCCGUAGUGUGUGAGUGUGUGUGUGUGUGAAUGUUCCUGCGACUUGCGUGUGAGCUUUUGUGUCUCUCGUGAUAGUGGAGUUUUGUAACGUUUGUGUUUGUACUUGUUUAAAUGUUUAGUUCAUGCUUGGCUUUUGUUUUUGUUUACAAUAAUAACAGAUUGCCCGUACACUCGUUCUUGUUAUCACAUGCAAGCUUUUUUUUCUUAUCUCUUCUACUACCGCUACAUAUCUCCGGCAGCAUCACGCCAUCUUCCGGUCGCGUUUUCCUCACAAACGCUUCGAAAAUAGUUCAGACAAACUCCUUUUAAACGUCCUUCCUCCGCUCCGGUAUCCUGAUUACGUCAGGAUUCCCCCGAAUUCUUUAUUUUCUCCUUUUUUGUGUUCAUAUUUCCGGCUGAGGUUGUCGAGCGACCGACCCGGGCCAGCGUAGCAACGUGCGGGCUGUCUCCCCCCCUCCCCCUCCCCUCUCGAGAAGCCCCUCCCCUCAGACUCCUAUCGCCCCGCCCACUUUCCUCGCAAGAGCUUAACCUCUUGUUCUUCCACAGUCGUCAAAAUAAAGAUCUGAAUUCUUCGCGAGCUUUCCCCAGUGUAAUAUCUCUUUCCGUGAUGAUUUAAGUCGAGAUGCGCGGAGAUUGGCGGCUUUAGAGUAGGCAUUGUGUACACAGGCAUCUGUCAACCUGUUCGAAUUACGCAACGCGGCUUCCCGGGACACACGGUGACGUCACUACAUCAACGUAACAGAGCCUUAUCCGUGACGUCACGCGAGUCCCGCCCCCUGAGGCCGGUGCGCAUGUGUGAUUGGCUGGAGCCACUAGAGCGGGCAAAGCGCUCGAGAACAUAUAGUAUACAAACCUUCUUUACCAGAGUUUAGUUUGGAGCGCGAAUCCUCUGGUGAUACAACUCAGUGUGUAGUCCCAAGCUAUCAUAGACGUUACUCUGUGGUUUUGACUUAGCCACCAUCAAGGCCUCUUCGGAAGGCUAAAACUUCACUUAUAUUUUCCUUAGUGGAUGUUCUCCAGCAUCAAAUUAUGGUUGCUGAGACGGUGAAGUACCCGGUGAACUACCCGGCCCUCAUCCCGCUGUCGCCGUCCGUGGCGGGCCUCGGCUACAACACGUGCUCGUCCUCGCUGCUGCACGCGGCCAACUACUCGCCGAGCCACAUCAUGGACUCCAAGGCUUCGGCACAGCUGCAGCAGCCCCAGCAGCAGCAGCAGCAACAGC